AGAAGAUGACGAAGAUGAGGAUGAAUGUCACUUUUUCUGUGGUUUUACUUGGGAAGCGGUGGUGAUUGGAUAUGGGUGUGGAGUGGUGCCUGCAUUUAUCACUGGCUACCUGAUGUUGCUGGCACGGAAACCAAAAUGGUUUGCUGGAAUCAUUGGCAGGGAAUUGGGGCUCAAGAUCAGGAGGAUGGAGAUUAGAAUGCGAUACUAAAGGUUUGCUGUAAUCUGUAUCCCAUUCCCAGGUCUUGAAAAUUCUGUAAUAAUAUAUAGUAAUAUCUGCUCUCAUAUAAUUCUAUAUUUGCAGAUUCAGAUGGGACAAGCAGGAUCAGAUGCAUUGGAAUCAACCACUAGUACUUCAGCUGUUUUGUCAUUCUAAAUUUUACAUUUUACAAUAAAAGUCAAAAGAUACAAGUUAUGUAGUAUUGUUUUGUUCCAGCCUCAGGCUCUUCAUUUCUAAAACAUGUUUGCGGAUGCUUUACAAUGUACAAUUUACAAUAUAUCAAAGUUUUUAAUAUACACUACCAGAACUGGGUUACAUUGCAGUGUUGUCGCCAUUUUUCUGAAUUUCACUAGUUGGGAAGACUGUAUAAAUUAUGUUAGAGUCGCUGCUAUCAGUGAUCGCGUUCAACAACUUAUCUCAAACUGGUAAGAUUUACUAAAUUUUUAAUUUCACAAGCUGUUGAUAGAAUAGAAGAUGCCUCAGUUUAAGGAUCGAGAAUGUAUUAAUGAACUGUCCCAGCCCUGAGAAAUUCUCUUUGAUGGGGCUGCAGUUUCAAUAAAUCGCCUCUUGUACUCAGCCAUCAUACAGUGAACCACCGUCCGAUGGUCGAAAUUGGCGAAGCAUGAUGGCUUUAAAUCAGCCCAUAACCUGAUGGGGUGGCAUUUCUGUUCCCCAUUAGUACCAAUGCAGGGUGUCCCCUUCCAAAGCUACUCUGCAACAAUUUCCAACAUCUCGUAUUCACUUAACCCGUUCAGUAGACAACAAGGUUAGGAGCAAGAAUGAGUCGGUGUCUGGACAUGAGAUUAGGAAUACUAUUACCUCUGACUUCUGAGGCCCGUGACAGAUCGAAGAGGCAUGAAAGUUGGGGACAGGGGACGGCUGGUGCAUUGGAAUGAAAGUAAAAAACUUUUUCAGAGCCUGAUGCUCUCAAGGAUGCAGUCUAAUGAACAAGCGUAAUGAUGUCAUGUUAACUGUCAACCACCUAGUCAAAAUUACUUGAAAUGAUGAAAUUUAUGACAGUAAAUUUAUGAUGCUCUGAGUUUGUUGAUCAACCAAGCUAUGUUGUAGGCAGCUCUUAUCUGAUCUGCAAUCAAGUUAAUGAACCACUACCUCAGUUCAACAUUUUACAUUUUACAGCUCAGAAUAAAAGAUUACAUGUGUAUUAAUCUGAUCAUCAUUUGUUUGAUCAAUUUAGAAGUUCGGCUUUGUUUACUUCUAUCCCGGGCUCUUCAUUUCUAGAGCAUAUUUGUUGAUACUUUUUAUUGAACGGUUAAGAAUAUACCAUAGAUUUUUAUAUUCGGCGUAGAUGAUUUUAUGUCCUGAUUUCAUUCCAUUCAUGAACUAAUUAAAAAUUUGAAAGUGGGUCAUAUCUGGCAGUGAUGCCAGCCCUUCCUGACCUGCAUUUCAUGACCACAAACUCCAAUUCUGCCCAAAAAUUGCAGCUGUUUCGUAAUAUUUUUCUACGUGCUCUUUUGUUUGGACUUGUUUGCUGGACCAUGCAUAUGUUUUGAUACAUCUUUGUUGAUGUUAACACUCUUGUGUCAGUUACUGGACUCAUUGUUAGUAGCCCAUUCUUUACGGCAGACAUUGAAUUGGAUUUACUUGAAGAAAUGAAGGAUUAAGAAAGUUCAGAACAAUUUGUUGAUUAUUUCCUUCCCUAGAAACUGCACUCCAGCAUCAAAGUACCUUUCAAAGACUCCAGACAUCAUCUCUUGAUUAUCAAAGACUUGGUCUUGCAUAUACUGAUAUACCGUGAAUAUAGGUUUCUUUCAUUUCCUUGAAAUUGCAUUUUUUGAAGUAGCUUUCCAGACUCAUUCCCGUCACUUCUCAAAGUCUUAUUCCCCAUCAAUACAUACACAUAAUAUCACACCAAUUUGCUCAUGCUCAGAUGGGCUUUUCUUACAAACCACACAUGUUCACUUCUCAUAGUCUUAGUCCUCGUUAAUAUAUACAGAUAAUAUCCCACCAAUUUGCUGGUGCUACAAAUGGGCUUCUCCUACAAGUCUACAACUACACAUAAUCGGAGAAAAGUCUGUCAAAUGGAUCUUGAAAGACCCUUCUGCAUUGAUUAUCAAAGUAUAUUAUCUGUUAACAUAAAUGUAUUUUAUCAAAGUACUCUCUAAAUAAAAACUAGUAAUAGCAGUUACACAGUAAAAAUUUUUCCUCAAACAAUUACCACCUCAAAUGAGAUAGGCAACCUUAGAUUCUCCAAAAGUGCUUAUAUUGCAACCCUUGUGUAAUGACUAAUAACAGUCAUGAUUAGUAGACAGACCAUAAUUGCGAUGGUUCGAACUUUUUUACUUGAGCUGGAGAGAAGACUUUGAACUGCAGUGUUAGCUAGGAGUUUUUGCACCGUUCCUUUCCCUGUCUUGAAAUUGCAUUUCAGCUCCAAAAGUAGAUUUCAGAGACUGAUUCAUGCCAUCUUUUAAUUUUCAAUGGCAUAGUCGCGAUGACACUCUCACUUCUCACAUUGGAAAACUUUUACCAACACAAUGAAAUUUAUAAGAGUAAAAUGCAAAGCGGUGGUUAAAUUUAUAAGAGUUCUAUCGAAGUCUAGUUUACCUAAAUAACUGCAAAAUGGUUAGGGUUGUUCACGAACCGAGCCGAGCCGAGUUUUGACCGAACCGAGCCAAGCUUUAAUUUUUUUUCUGACGAGCCGAGCCGGGCCGAGCUUUUUUAUCGAACAAAAUUUGUGUUCAAGCUCGGCUCGUUAACUAACGAGCCGAACACGAGCUUGUUCGCGAACAAAUACAAGCCGAACCGAGUAGAAUCGAGUCGAGCCGAGCCAGAAAAAAAAUAAGAACAAACCGCUAGUUGACUCUUAAAAUAGCUAACCAAAUAAUUUUAUUUUUUUUUAAACUUUGUUUAUAUCACUAAAAUGUAUAUAUGUUAACAUCCAUACGGUUGGAUCGGUAAGAAAUAUUUUUUAAAAUAUUGAAACACUAAAUUAGGAUUAAACACUAGUUAGCAGUACUAUUUAACCUUCUACUUGACUGUUAAAAUAGCAAACCAUAUAAAAUUAUUAUUUUCCGAAAUUUUGGUUACAUCACUGAAAUAUAUAUAUAUUAAUUAUAUGUUGAAUUCUGAGUUCAAUAACAUAUAUAAAUUAUAAAAAAAACCCCGAAAAUAUUACAUUUUUUCGAGCUUUAACGAGCCGAGCUCGAGCCGAGCGAGCUCGAGUCGAGCUCGAGCCGAGCUCGAGCCGAACAUACUAAAAGCUCGGCUCGAGCUCGUUUACUUAACGAACAAUUUUUUGUGUUCGUCCUCGAGCUCGUUAACUUAACGAGCCGAGCCGAACGAGCUCUUAACGAGCCGAGCUCGAGCUUGUUCGCGAACAGCUCGGUUCGUUAAGCAGCCCUAAAAAUGGUGAAACAAACUAGGGCUUAGAAAAUGGUACAAUUUGCGGUUUUGUAUCUAUUGGGCAUCUAUUUUGGUGUGCUAGUCAACUUGUAUGGUUCUUAAAGUUUACAACUUGAAACAGUUAAUAUCAAAUGUCAAAGUGAAAAUAUGUGUAGUUUUAACUUCACAAUAUUUUCUUGGUGCGGGCUAUGUAAGUUAUCUUUUACAUGGUGAAUCAAGUUAUGAUACUCAGAAUCAAUUAUGUUUCACUUUCGUAUUUUCCACCUGGUCGUAAGAUUUGUAGUUUUCCUUCGCUAUUGUAAAGGUUGUGUUCUAUUAAGGGUGAUAUAUGCGCACCCUAAAUUAAUUUAUGCACACUUUACCUUCUGUUUCAUAUCAAAUUACCCUUGUCUUUUAUCAUUUCAACCAAAUAUUUUAUUAAUUCAAAGGGGUAAUUUAGUACAAACUAGAUGAAAGGUGUGCAUAAAUAAAUUUAGGGUGUGCAUAAAUCAGCACCCAAUGUAUUUAGUGAUUCCACUGAUGAUAAUGUUAAGCAAUUAACAGGUAUUAAAAUGCUUUCAUUAUAAUGCAACUUUAUACUCCCUUUAUCCCAUUUUAACUGAGGUAAAAAAAACAAUAUCUACACCCAUUAAAAAAAAUUCAAUUUUUAUAUCAAAUAAAAGUUUAGAUUCUAAAAUUUUAAUUGAUGAUAUAAAUUUUAUAAACAAUAAUUAUGUUUAUAUGUGAUUUUCUUAACAUUUCAAAAUACAUGUAAAAAGGUCAAAAGUAGUUAAAAUGGGACGGAGGGAGUAUAUUUUUAUUCAAACUCGAGUCUCCCGUGAGUGGAGCUCUUAAUAUCAUGCGAAGUUAAUAUUCUCCUAAAAUCUCAAAAUGUUAGAUAGAAUGACUUAUAAAAAAAUUGAAGAAAAGUGGAGUUUUAUUAUAAGUUUUAUCCGUGUUACAUACUUACAUUGAAUAUCUGGUAGUAACGCAAAAAAUUUGGUCUCCUCUAUGUAUUUUUGCUGGCUUGGUCGAAUCAGUUGGAUUGCUGGUAUUUGAAUAAUCUAAUUUUUUCAGAAAUAAGAAUUUAUUUCUUGAGAAAAGUACAUAAAACUACUAUACUUUUUUGGUCUCCUCUAUGUAUUGUUUUAUUUUAUAAGUCGUUUAAGGUAUUUUCACACAUAUUAAAAAACUUCAUUGUUGCAUAAAAAAGUAUUUAUUAGUCAUUUCUUUUUCAUUAUUAUCCUCAUUUAAUGUCUCUUUUCUCUCUUUUUCUAUUGACUCAUAAUAUUAAAUAAGGGUGAUAAAAGUCAUUAGAUAAUUUAAAUUAUUCUUGAAAAAAAAAAAAGAACGACCUAUAUUUAUGAAUAAUAAUAUUUUCUAAAAUGAACUAUAAAAAAACAGAUGGAGUACUGUAUAUCAAGUGGAGAAGCAAGACUAAAGUGCAGUACUCCUAAGCCCACAUUGUACGGCGGUAGUACAUUUGAUUUUAUUCGGGGAAAACCAUGUUUAUGGAUUAUCUCAUCUGAAAGACCCUAUCCAUCAUCUUCCGAUUCUCAGAGUCUUGGCCUUCCAUUCCAUGCACUGCUCUGCACGUGCUUCUGUUUGAGAUCAAAAUCACCUGCCUUAAAAAAUUUGUUUCUUUUGUAGUCUAAUCUCUGUCCCAAUCAAAUAUAUACCUUAACUGUGCACGUAUUUUGAGAUUUUAAUAAAAUUUUGUUGUAAAAUACUUUUUAAAAUUUUUUUUUUUGAAUAAAAAUUUAAACCUCAAAUUUUUAUUCAGUUAAGGAAAAUUUUAAAUAAUGUUUUGUAAUUAUACUUUAACGAAGCCUUAAAAAAUAUACCAAAAAACAGCGUAUACAAUUCAUCAGACGAGCAACCGCCAACAAGAAACACCACCGACAAUAAUAAACAAGAUUAGAAUGCAUAAUAUUCUGCAUUGGUCGAUAACUAUCAUUAUUAAUUUCUUCCUGCUGCACCACCGACAAUAAUAAACAAGAUUAGAAUGCAUAAUAUUCUGCAUUGAUCGAUAACUAUCAUUAUUAAUUUCUUCCUGCUGAGAAUUGAAACCACGCCCUCUGGCAAUUCCAAAAUGUUCCCUUUUAUAUUUAGCAAAAAAUAAUGAAUGGUGCUCCCAUUUUUUGACUAACCCAAAAACUCGAUGAUGGGCAAAAAUUGCACUAAUAUUAGAAUGAUGGUGUUUAGACAAGUUCUUCAUUUCAAAUUUUAAAUAUUGAAAUAAUUAGAAAUAUAAUAUAUAACUAUAUGACAAACACUCUAAUUCAGCAAGAAUCUUAUUUUUUGUAUCAAUUUUUCAAUAAUUUCAGGUGAAUGGUAAUUUAAUAUAUAAUCAAAUUUUAAAUAUUGUAUAGUUUUUGUUUUAUAUUUUAAUAAAUUUCAUAAUAGUGAGGAUAUGAGUACAUAUAUACAUCAACAGAAGGGUCGUUUGGGUAAACUUUAAAAAAGUGACUUCUUUCUUCAAAUAAAAAUGUGCACUAUAUUCCGUCAAAAAAAAUGUGCAGCAUUAGUAAGAGGUAAGUCUAGACUUAAAAGUGAUUAAAAUUUUUUAAGGAAAAGUAGAAGUUCUGAAAAUAAAAGUUAGAAAUUUUGGCUUCUUACAGGUGUUUCUGACUUUUUACAAAAUUAUAAGCCGACUUUCUUAGAAAAAGAAGGCGGAAGCUGGGGCAGCCAAACAAACACAUGAUAUGACUUGAUAUACAAAAAAAUUACAUUUAAAUUACGUUUAUAACACAAAUAAUCUCAAUUUAAAAAUGAUGAACAAAGAGAUAUGAGAUAUAUUGAAAAAUAAUUGAAAGCAACCCGUGUUUUGCACGGGUUAAAAAGCUAGUUCUAAUUAAAGGGAAAAAAGCCAUCGACUAAAAUUGAACACGGAUGGGAAUUAUAAGAAGCAUAAGCAAACAAACUUUUCUCUACAAUAAAAGGUGAUGGGUUGAAGUCAAGAAAACACCGAUUCAUCUUUGUACAAAGUUAAAAAUACUAACGGCUCUUUGCUUAUAGCACUACAAGAAAACUCAUUUUAAUGACAGAAAUUCUGUUAACAUGAUAAGGAUUUUCGUUGGUAAAUCACCGCCAAGGGAAUGAUAAUGAAAAUAAUUGGUUGGCAUAUAGUUGAUCGGGAAGUUCAUGCUAACGGAACAAAUUCGUUGCUAAAUUGGUUUCUUUUGAUAAAAGAUGAUGGGUUGAAGUCAAGAAAACAAACACAACACUUUUACAGAAAGUUAAAAAUACUAACCGCUCUGUGCUUAAAGAGUGGCAUAAGUAAGCAGUUCUCCGUGUGCUAGAAAUUCCUUCAUUUCUUGCUCUUCUAAGCCAACAACAGCUCUAAUACCAUCAUUCGCGGUAUCCAUCAGAGUGAUGACAUCAACCAUCGGAGUGUCCACAAGCACAGCUUUAACCGGCUUUCCCCACCCGAAAUCCAUGAUAUCAUAUAGCGGGAAAUUACACAUGCUUGUAAUAACGUAGAACCUGUACUUGUGUUUUGUGAACUCAAGAAACUCAGUCUCCAUUUCGUGUCCUUCCAUACUCUUGAUUCCUUUUAGCUGUUCCCUCUCUUUCCUCAUUCGUGCUACCAACGUUCUGUACUUUUUGUCCGCCUCUGUGGUCGCUACAAUGUGGUUUAGAAUCUGGAAAUUCCCCACAGUUGUUUCUUGCAGUGGCGGAUCAAUCAUAUGCCUCACAUUGACAGCCCGCAUUAAAACGGAUCCAUUAUGCACUCCAGCAUUAGUCCUAUCUGCCACGCUUACAAGACAUCUGUAAAGGAGUGCAGUCAGAAGCUCGUUGCGGGUGUAUUUUUGAUCUUCCACUACUCCAUCCAGCUUAUCCUCGUUAUUCACCACAAUCUUCAGUUCUGCUAGCUUUGUGUUGGGAAACACUAAUUCCUUCGUCGUCCAAUUCUUAUCUGGAAAUAUGAUGGUUUCGAUGGCAUUAAUAUCAUAGGAUAGAGGCAGCAGAGCAUUCACCAGAACGGGACAGAGAUGUAACAGUUUUCGGUGAUCACCAGAAUGGAGUGACAGAGUGGCCCAAUACCUUAAAAGUGUGCAGGUAGUCAGAGCAUCACCCAGAAGGUGAGAAAGGCAAAAAAUUGCUGACGAAAAAAUGUACAAACUAGUAAAAAAUGAAAAUCACUUCUGGUAGUAAAAAAAGUCUAAACUAGAACCUAGUUCAGCCCAAUAUUUUAGCAUUAGUUUUAACUGCAAAAAUCACUAAUUUGUACAUUAUUAAUGAUUAAUUUUUAAAUAGAAAUAUCACAAAUAAAUAAAUAAAUAAAUAUAAUUAAAAAAUUAAAAAAAUCAUCAAUUUUCACCAAAAAGUCGUAUUUUCCCAACUAGUUCUACCAUGGAACCAUAUAUAUUUGUCCAAAGUGAUUUACUGUUCAAUAUCAAGUCUAAAAAAAUACACAUAAAACACUACCUUAAAAGUGUGCAGGUAGUAAGAGCAUCCCCAAGAAGGUGAGAAAUGCUAACUGCUACAGCCAUCCCUCCACAAUCGAAACGGUUGAGUUGCACAUACAUUAUAUUACCCGAAUGCUUCUCAGAAAACUGAUUCCGAAUUGUGCAAGGUGGAAACAGAUGGCCUAAUCCGUCUUCUUCCUUGACUGCAGCUCUAUCCUGAACCUCCGACAUAUUGCAUCCGAUUUGAGCCUCGAUAAAUUGAACGCCUUCAUCGUUACAAUCGACGUACGAUCCAGAGCAUAUCCUUCCUGCAAAUGGAUAGUACUUGGACAGUGUCUCCGACAAAGACUUCUUCAGUAGAUCUGAUGCAUUAUCAGGGACCCGUUCACGAAUGGGAUCAGAGUUGUUUUUGGGAUAGAAAAAAAUCAGUGGAAUAUAAAAAUUUGGAACCAUGCGAUCAUGUAAAGGAAUAUUGUAUCGUUUGAGGUUCGAGGGAGUUGGAGAAGCUGGUUUAAUGCUGCAGGAAGAUCUUGAGAUUACAUGCAGCUGCCUUCUAAAUACUAAUGACAACCUCAUCAAUCCUUUAAACGUCAUUUUUAACUUGCCAAACCAAACUUUGAUGUGUAUAUCAGAUAUGAGCUGGUUUAAUUGGGGUAUUUAUACAGAUUUAUAAGAGAAGAUUACAGCCCAUGCCAAAAGACUUGGCGGUUGAAGCUGGUGAGAUGAUAUAACUCCUGAUUAACCGGAAAUCAGGGAUUAAUCGUAAGGAUUAAUCAGAGUGAAAAUCGGUUUUAUUUUGAAUAUUAAAAUAUUAUUUUUAAUAUUUAUUUAUUACUAUAUUAAUUAUUUAAUAAUAAAUAUAUUUAAUAUAUCAUAAAUUUUAUAAUUGUUCAUAUUUAAAGUAAAUAAGUAGUAUUCAAUUUUAAUAAUUUAUUAUAUAUAUAUACUUCGCUUGAGAAAAAUUUAUACGGAUUAAUCGAAUUUUAAAAAUCGAAUCAAUCGGCCAUCUUGCAGGAGAUUAAUUGGGAAUUCAUCGAUAAAAUCAAUAAUUUUUAAAACACUGCCGGCAACUGUAAGUAUAAAAAAUAGGAAUAAACAAAGAGCACUGGGAACCACAUGCAAGUGAUUGUUUACUGCUGGUUCUACCGGUCUCUGCCAAAAACUCUGAUAAAUACCAGACAAAACUACCAGUCUCCCUUGCAUAAAAUAUCUAAGCUACAUAGGAAUCUUUUUAUGUCUAUGCUACAAGACAUUUUUUAUGACUUGGAUCCCAUUUCAUUUGUGGCAUUGCAGCAGUUCAUUCUUUAUUUCCUGAAUUUUCUCUAUAAUCUUUACCUCAUGCCUCUUAAUUUUUAUUCAAGAUAAUUUUUUUUGCAAAUUACUGUGGUUCUGCUUUUCUUAUCUUUUCUUCUUUUGGCUUUGCUGGUACUUUUCCUUUGCCAGUUUAAUUUUACCUUCAACUUUGAGAAAUAAAUGUAUUUAGUGAUUUCACUGAUGAUAAUGUUAAGCAAUAGGGUUCAAAAUGCUUUCAUUAUAAUGCUACUUUAUUUAUUUAUAUUCAAACUCGAGUCUCCAGCAAGGGGAGCUCUUAAUACCAUGUGAAGUUAAUAUUCUCCUAAAAUCUCAAUAUGUUAGAAAGAGUAAUUUUUUAUUAAAAAAAUUGAAGAAAAGUAGAGUUUUAUUAUAAAUUUUAUACGUGUUACAUUGAAUAUUUAAAAGUAAAGCAAAAAAUUUGGUCUCCGCUAUGUAUAUUUGCUGGCUUCGUCGAAUCAGUUGGAUCGCUGGUAUUGGUGAGAGCGUGAGACAUUAAAGGGAGAUGGGCUGAUCAGAUCAGCUUGGUUGAUAAUGUCUAAAUCCAAUUCCUUAACAAGGAAUUGAUUUUACUCAUGAAAAAAGAGUGAUUAAAAAAAAAGUUUGCAGAAAGUCAAGACUCAAACCCCAUUCUUAUCAAGUCUUCCACUACUCUAUGCACAAUUCAAAAUACACAAAGACCAACCAAAAAGUUCUUGGAAGUAAUCAAAUAAAUGAUACUCUCCAAGUUCUUGUUCUCAAAUCAAACAAGUUUUAUGGUCUUAUAAACACGAGUUCCAAGAUUGUACACCCAUUUCCUAGCUUGACUGCUUGAGAAUCAUUGAUCUUUCGUACAAUGAGUUUUCAGGUGCACUGCCAGAAGAAUAUUUCAGAAACUUUAAGGCUAUGAUGAAUGCGGAAGUGAAUAAGAUAUAUCGUAGCUAUAUGGAGCAAGAUUAUUACACUGAUUCCACAGCUCUAGUGAUUAAAGGCAUGGAAAUUAAUUUAAAAAGAAUAUUGACUGUGUUCACAACUAUUGAUGUAUCAAAAAACAAUUUUGAUGGGGAGAUAGCUGAAUACUUUGGAAAUCUGGUAUCACUCAGAUUUCUUAAUCUUUCUCACAAUUAUCUCACAGGCCAUAUACCACGCUCGAUUGGAAAAUUGACUGUGCUGGAGUCACUAGGCCUCUCAUCCAACCAACUUGAAGGAGAAAUUCCUCAGCAGCUCACUAGUGUAUAUUCACUUGCAGUUCUCAAUCUGUCUUGCAACCAACUUAGAGGACGUAUUCCAGAAGGGUGGCAAUUCGAUACGUUUGAAAACAGCAGCUACGCUGGUAACUUUGGGCUGUGCGGACAUCCCUUGUCGAACAAGUGUGAAUCUUAUGUUAGGACACAAAAAGAAGACGAAGAAGAUGAGGAUGAAUGUCACUUUUUCUGUGGUUUUACUUGGGAAGCAGUGGUGAUUGGAUAUGGGUGUGGAGUGGUGCCUGCAUUUAUCACUGGGUUACUGAUGUUGCUGGCACGGAAGCCAAAAUGGUUCGAUGGAAUCAUUGGCAGGGAAUUGGGGCUCAAGAUCAGGAGGAUGGAGAUUAGAAUGCGAUACUAAAGGUUUGCUGUAAUCUGUAUCCCAUUCCCAGGUCUUGAAUAUUCUGUAAUAAUAUAGUAAUAUGUGCUCUCAUAUAAUUCUAUAUUUGCAGAUUGGAGAGGCAUGAACAUUUUGGCAUGUAAGUUGAUGGGACAAGCAGGUUUCAGAUUCAUUGGAAUCAACCACUACUUCAGCUGUUUUGCAUCUUUUGUGAUUUUAAAUUUUACAUUUUACAAUAAAAGUAAAAAAGAUACAAGCUCCAUGGACAAGUUUUGUAUUGUGUAGUUCCAGCCUCAGGCUGAUGGUUUAUAAUGUACAAUUUACAAUAUAUCACAAUUUGUAAUAUACAGUACCAGAUGAUUUUAUGGCCAAAUUAUCCUUAAUCGCUUUCAUGAACUAAUGGAAAUUUGUAAAAGCGGGUCACAUUUGCAGUGAUGCCGCUAUUUUUCCUGAAUAUUCCUAGUUCUGAAGAUUGUCUAAAUCAUGUUAGUAGCUGCCAUCAGUGAAUGCAUUCAACGGCUUACUGAAACUGGUAGAGAUACUAAAUUCACAAGUUAUUGAUAGAAUAGAAGAUGACAGAGUGUCCAUGCGUCAGUUUAAGGAUCGAGAUGUGUAGCCGUGACUUGUAUUUUAAAAUUGCACAAGAUGCUUUACAAUGGUAGCAGAGGGCUGCGGAUUUAUUGGGUUAGUUGGAAGCACUCAAGUCGAAUUGGUUGUAGCAGAGCAAGAAGCUGAGCACGACCAUAAGAAUUUGAACUCUGAGGCUAAUUUGACUCUACUUGUAAGCCUUCCACUAGACAGCAAGGUUAGGAGAAAGAUUGAGUCGAUGUAAGCCUUCCUCUGACGCCUGUGACAGAUCAAUGAGGCAUGAAAGUUGGGAACAGGGGACGAUUGGCGUAUUGGAAUGGAAGUGGAAAACUUCUUCAGAGCCUGAUGCUCUCGGAGAUACAAUCUAAUGAAAAAGCGUAAUGAUGAUCAUGACUCCGCCCUUGCUCUAAAUCAGUAAGAUCAACCUCUCUACACAAUUCACUAAUACCACCUCUUUAUAACAUUCUCACUCCUAGGUGAUGAAUAAAGUAUCAAGAAACAUAUUUUGUAUAAUGAAUUAUAUUUUUUAUUAUAUUCCUUUUUUUAAAAUAUAUUGCGUAUUACACUGUUUAUUAAUUCUAUUUGAAGCAAUUAAUUAAUUUUUAGCCGUAAUUUAACUUUCAAGGUAGCAUUAUCAGCAUGAGGAAUAGGCAGAGCUUCCAGAUGCUCUCUUCUGAUAGAUAUCAUUCAGCACUUGCUCUGAGUUUGUUGAUCAACCACGCGAUGUUGUAGGCAGCUCCUAUCUUAUCUGCAAUCAAGUUAAUGAACCACUACCUCAGUUGUUAAGCAUCUUUCAACAUUUCACAUUUUUGAGCAUUUAAUUAAUUAGUCAUCAGUCUUGUAUUUAGCUUGAUCGAACAUAAUUGUUCUCUUCAAUUUCUUUGCCUACUUGUCGACGUGUUUAUGUAGCGUGUCUCUACUCUGUAGCUUACACAUCAUUGAUUCAUGUUAUUUUCCCCUUAGGAACUUGAGAGACAUUUGGCAUCAAAAGAAGCUUCUCUCCCGCAAGAACCAUUUUCCCCUUAUGAACAUUUGACAUUUUGGUGUUGCUGAGAGCGCAGCGACUUUUGAUGAACUCGGCCUGUCUGGCAGACAGGAGGCCUUGUUUCUGGAGUUAAUAUAGCGGAUCUCGAAGAGUUUACCCAGAUGGACCAACUUUGUUUGUUAGUUGGAUGUAAAAGUUGUUUAGAGACGGGUAUUUUGUCGAAGUUUGUAUCUAUUGGGUAUUUCGUCUUUUAGUCAGACUAUGGCUCAUACAGUUUCAUACAGUUUGAAGUUGAUAUCAAAUCUUAGAUUAAAUUACUGAACAUUGUUUCUUGAAUUCGAUAUCGAAUUUUAAACGAAAAUAUGUUCAGUUCUAAUUUAAAAGUUAUGCAAAUUACAUUAAUAAUAUGUGGCCCUGUUUGUUUACCAAAAGCAGAAGCUGCUUCUGGCUUCUGCUUUUCUUGACCCGUUUGUGUAAAGAAGCAGAAGCACUUUUAAUAAACUGAGAAUCCUAACUUCUCUCUCACAGCUUCGGCUUCUUUUCCAAACACUUUAUUCACUUAUUUACUUCUCACUUCUGCUCCACUUCUCUAGUUUAAGCAAGAAGUCACUUCUUUUAAGCUUGCCCAAACGGCCCCAUAAUCUAUUUUGAGUCUCUUGGUCUUCGGUCUUCUAUUGCAGCAUAUCAUGCACAUCUCAAAUGAUUGAAAAUGAACUCUCUCCAAAAGACAAGGGGGUCUGUUGAAGUAGACCUGGAAUUGAUUUUACUUGAAGAAACAAUAAUAGGUCACCUUUUAAAGUUUUGGUCUUUGUCUUUUAUCUCUUAAAGUCUUUGUCGUUUACAUCUCAUACAAUUUGCUAUCGUAUUUAACACUUCACACAAUUCCAUGCUAUCGUAUUGAACACUUCACACAAUUCCAUAAUAUUGAAGAUUUUUGGCUUGAAAUAUUCUAGAGAAUAAGGUUGUACAUAAAAUUCAAUAAUUUAUUUCCUUUCCUUCAAUAUUACAACUCAUAUAUUUGUUGCCAAUGACUCAUUCAAUUCGCAUCAAUUAUUAUCAUCUUCACUUUAUCAAAGAGUCUUGCUCUUCGUCCUUUACAUGCUUUUAUUACGAUCCCCAUGUGCUUUGAAAAUACUUGUGUUAUAGUCCACAUCAAUCAAUACUCCUUAUUAAUAAGCGAAACCACAUUUCAGUGGAACAUCGGUACUAAAAGUACCAAAUUUGAUCAUCUUAUAUCAUAUUUAAUUAUUAUUAUUAUUAUACUCCUAUUAAAAGUAUUAUAUUAUCCUUAGGAGAUUUAUAUUGGUCAGGAAUUUAUAAUAUUUUAAGAUAUUAUAAUUAAAGACGACUUCUAUAAUUAUUAGGAUUUUAUAAUUAAUAUAAACUUCUUACUUAAUAAUGAUAAUCAUUAAACUAUUUUGAAAAAAUGUCGUAUUGGUUAGAAUUUUAUAAUUUUAUUAUAUUAUAAUGAAAAGACUUUCAUAUUUAUUAUGAUUUUAUAAGUAAAUACUUUAAUAUUGGUUAGGAUUUUAUAAUUAUCUUGAUAUUGAUUAGAAUUUUAUAAUUAAAGACUUCAAUGUUAUACUAUUAAAAAAAGAUUUCUAACGUUGUUAGGAUUUUGGAAUGCAACAGUUAUACCACCAAUAAAAUUAUUUAUUUUAAAUUCUUUAAACUCAAAUAAUUUAAUUUAUGAAACAACUCUGUAAAACUCCUAUCAUAUUUCAGCAUUCAAAUAAAUAAAGAUUUAUAUUGAUAUUACUUUUUAUUAAUAUGCCAUAUUUUUCUUUAGUGGAAGAACAUGAGUACCAAAUACCGAAUUAUCAAAAUUUGGUUAAUAUCAUGUAAUUUUAACAUUGUCGUACUCUUCACAAUAUAAUAAUAUUAUUAUAAUAACGGAAAGGGGGUGGUAGCACUAUCAUGAUAAAUGCAAAUUCCAAUGAGAAUAAAAUUACUGUGAAAAUUUUAUAAAUAAAUUAAUUUUAAAUUUAUUUAAUUUAUAAUCUCUAUUAUAGUUUUAUAUUAAUUUGAAAAAUAUCUAUUAAUAUUGAAUAUACAAGAACUUCAAUUAGUGUUACACUUAAUAAUAUUUAUUAGACGUCUAAAAUAACUAUGAACUAAAAAAAUUAAGUUUUAUUAAAAAUGGUUGAAUUUUUUUUCCAUCUAUUUAGAAUAAAAACAACAUAAUAAUUUUAUUAAAAUGAAACUUACCAUUUUAAAAUAAAUUCAUAUAAUAACAUAUAUCCUGAGAAUGUUUAUUUUGAAAAAUAAAACUUAAACAUAAUUAAAUAUUAAUAUGUUAAUGCAUAAUAAGUUUUGUAUCUCAACAAUAAUAAUUUAAAUAACUAUAUCAAAAAUAUUAUAAUUCCAAUAAAUAAUAAACUUAAAAAAUUUAUAUAAUCCCGUGCUUGGCACNCAAAAAUAUUAUAAUUCCAAUAAAUAAUAAACUUAAAAAAUUUAUAUAAUCCCGUGCUUGGCACGGGUUAUAGACUAGUAUUGAUAAAUAGACAAAUUACAAUAUUUAGUUCAUUAAUGAAGAGAUAAGACAUUCAUGUGUAUGUAUUUGAAAAAUAAAAUAUUAUGAAGCUAAAUGAAUAAACACUUCUGAAAAGUAAAACCCGUUUCUGGUCCAUUUUGUAGCUUGAAGAAAUGAAGCAGAAGUCAAGAUUUCCUUGAAGAAACAAAAUUUUAUAAAAGUUAAAAACAAUUCGAUAAUUAUUGUCUUUUUAAAAAACGGAGCACGCAACACUCUUUUAUAUCAUAUUUCAAUUCUUAGAGUCUUCCUUCUACUACUCCAAAAGUGGUUCUAUUAUAGGCCACAUAUUAAUAGAUCGAUACAAAUUUAUUAAAAAGAUCCUUAUUUUCAACAAUCAAUAUCAGUUUGACUACAAAUUUAUCUGAAAUGACCCUUGUUAAUGGACUCUAGCUUAUAGGGUCAAACUUGGCUAUACAUGCCUCGGAGAAAAUUCACCAGUUCGUAGAAGAGACCUUUCUGCUAUCAACUCUAUGAAAAAUGCAGCACUUAUCAUCUAAAUAAAAAUCAGUAAGACUAUCUUAGAUUCUCUGAAGUGUUUAUAUUGCAGCCGCUUGUAUUGAAUACACACAUAAAUAACCACACAUAAUCAGCAAGGUUCGAAUUUUUUUGGUUUAACCAUAUCACCAACAUGAAGAAAAGACUUUCAAGCGUCAUAAUAGCUAAGAGCUUUUAUUUUCAGGAUAACCCCGGUCUAGAUUAUUAUAAAAAACUUGUUUAUAUGGAGACAUAAUAAAGGUCCCAGAAUUUUUUACUCUUCAAGAUUUCCGUUUCUAGCCAAAUUUUUUGACCAUAAAUAAUAUAUUGGUUUUACCUGAAAACAAAAUUUAAAGAAAAUUCAAAUUUUUUUAUUACUUCUUUUCUUUUAUUAUUACUUCUUUUCUUUUAUUUUGAAAUUGCAAAACAGCUCAAAGUAGUUCUAAAAGAAUCAUUCUCCCCGCUAGAAUCAGUUACAAUUAAGGUUGACAAGAUGUUUUAGCUGCGAGUUCUUCAAAUUAUUGCUCGUAAGGUCCACGACAGCUUAGAUAGUCACCAAAACUUUGGCCUGUGGAUUAAGUUGAUGAAAUCUAGUGUAUUAGAAUCAAUGACAGCACUAUUUUAUGGGAUUGAUGCUCACUCUUCAUAUUAUGUGUUUUUCUAAUGUGUGUGUCCAAAUACACACAAUAAACACUAAAUUUGAUAAAAAAUCGUAAUAUUAGUCAUUCCGCUCAUAAAUUUCAAGUGGAGAAGAAAGAGUUUCUCAAAAAAAAGUGGAGAAGAAAGAGCAUCGUGAUUGUCAUUGUACCCUUAAAAUUUGUUCGAUUAGGUUUUUUACAUAGUUUGCGCGUGGUCAUCUGGGUAUGCCUUCAUUAUAUUAAGCCAAUCUAGUAAUUCCAUAUUAAACAAGUUUAAAAUUUUCAAAUUUUGAUCUUAAUAAAAUUGAAAAAAUAGUGAACUUUUUCUUAUUUAUGAUAUUAACAAAUCUCUUACUUUUUUAUUACUGUAUUCAACUAAAUAUUUUUUACAAACCCUCAUAAAUGCAUCACAUCAGUUAUGAAAUUUAAAACAAAUAUAUCCAAUUUCUUCGAGAAAGAUGGUUGUAUAAUUUUUAAUUAAAAAAUUUAAUUAUUUUUAUUUUUAACAUAAUUUACAACUAAAAAAAUAUUAUAUGUUCACUGCUUUGUAAUAUAAUUAAAUAUAUCUUAAAUACAGUUUUUCCUAUAUAUAUGCUAACCUCGAGAGACGUUGAAGAUCAUCCCAAACAAAAUUUGAAAGGGAAAAUGAAAAUGAGGAAUUGCAACCUCUGUUUUUUCACCAUCAGUAUGAUGCUCAUCUUCUUGCAGUUGCAGCACCACCUGGUGGCUUGUUCAUUAAGCCCCCACUUGCAGAAACUUGCCUUGUUCCACUUUAACCAAACCUUCACAAUCACUCCUGGGGAUUGCGAGUAUUAUUCCUACAAAGACGAAGAAUUUUACGAAAUUCCUUCACGGGCAAAGACAAAGAACUGGAGCAUGAGUUCUGAUCACUGCACAUGGGAUGGAGUUAGCUGCGACGACAAGACGGGGGACGUAAUUGGACUGGAUUUAACUUGCGGUCAGCUGGUAGGAGCCAUACACUCAAACAGCACUCUUUUCCAACUCUCUCAUCUUCGCUUCCUCGACCUUUCUUACAAUGACUUUUCCCUCUCCGAUCAGUUCCCUCAGGAAUUUGGCUUCUUUGCAAAAGGAUUGACGCAUCUCAACCUCUCUCGUACUGGAUUAUCAGGGAGAGUUACCUCAGGAAUCUCUCAUUUGCAUAAACUGGUCUCACUUGAUCUCAGUGAGAACUUUGAAGCUGAACUUGAAGCAGAAGUGUUUAAAUCACUAUUGCAGAAUUUAACGCAUCUCAGAGUGCUUAAUCUUCAUGAAGUUAACAUCCCAUCUGUUUUGCCGGUGAAUAUCUCUACUUCUCUAAGAGUUCUUCAAUUGUCGUAUACUCAUAUACACGGAGUAGUACCGCAAGAAGUUUUCCACCUUCCCAACUUGGAAUUACUUGAUUUAUCAAAUAAUCACGACCUGAGAGCUACAUUAUCCAAAGUUAAGUGGGGAAGUAAAGCUACUCUCCAAUACCUUCAUCUUUCAUACAUCAACAUAGAUGGAGGUAUACCUGACUCAAUAGGCUUUUUGGAGUCAUUAGUCAGUUUAGAUCUGCUCGACUGUAAUUUGUCUGGGACGAUGCCAAGAUCCAUUGGACACCUCGUUCAACUUACUCACUUGGACCUCUCUUUUAAUAAUCUCAAUGGCCCAAUUCUAACUUUUUUUACAAACCUUACUGACUUAAGAUAUAUGUCCCUUGGGCUUAACAAUUUUACUGGUCCGUUUCCCUCUUUUCUUGCCCACUCUAGUAAACUAGUUGAGUUGUAUCUUUAUGGUAAUAGGUUUACUGGAUCCGUACCUCGUUCGUUGUUUCACCAUCCAUCGUUAGAGUUCUUGAAUUUGGCAUAUAAUGCAUUCACAGGUCAACUCCAUGAAUUUGAUUCUUCUCGAUCUCGGCUGCAAUCUUUUUCUUGUUCCAGCAAUUUACUCUAUGGAUCCAUUCCUCAUUCAUUUUCUCAACUUGUGAAUCUCACUGAACUAGACUUUUCAUCAAACAGUUUCAGCGGGGUUUUGGAUUUGGAAAUGUUUUCAGGCCUCGGAUUUCUAAAACGUCUUGAUCUUUCUCAUAACAGUCUUUCAGUGAGAAGUACAAUUACGGACACUCUCCCUCCCAAUCUUUACCACUUGGACUUGUCAUCAUGUAACAUGAAAGAGUUUCCUCACUUUUCAAGAGAUGCACACAUCUUCCUGGAUUUUGUAGACCUAUCAAACAAUGAAAUUGAAGGGGAAAUUCCACACUGGAUUGGGUCGAUAGGGAGGUACUCUGUCUACUAUCACAUCCCCUAUCUGAAUCUUUCUCACAACAAACUAAUAGGCGGUCUUGAGCAAUUGCCUUGGGGUCAUAUUAGGUUUCUUGAUCUCCAAUACAAUAAGCUGAAUGGAUCAUUGCCCACCUUGAUGUGUAAUUCCAGCUCUCUUUAUAUUCUAAAUCUCUCUCACAACAAUUUGAGUGGUGUACUACCCAGUUGUCCUACAAAUUUGACUCGUCUUUCAGUGUUGGAUCUGCGGAGGAAUAAAAUUCAGGGAAACAUUCCAGCAACCUUGUCAAAUUUCCGUAACCUGGAAACUAUUAAUUUGAAUGGAAACCGAUUACAAGGAAGCAUUCCUUCUUCUUUUGCUGAAUUUGAUUCUUUAGCCAUUCUUGAUCUUGGAAAUAAUAAGAUAAAUGAUACAUUCCCCCGGUGUUUGGAAGCUCUUCCAAAUCUUCAAGUUCUUGUUCUCAAAUCAAACAAGUUUUAUGGUCUUAUAAACACUAGUUCUAAGAUUGUAUACCCAUUUCCUAGAUUGAGAAUCAUUGAUCUGUCGGACAAUGAGUUUUCCGGUCCACUGCCAGCGAAAUACUUCAGAAACUUCAAGGCUAUGAUGAAUAGUGAUGUAAGCAAAAUAGAUCGCAGUUAUAUGAAUUAUAGUUCCUAUUACAGUGAUUCCACGACUCUGGUGAUUAAAGGAGUAGACAUGGAGUUGGUAAAGAUAUUAACUAUUUUUACAACCAUGGAUGUCUCAAGGAACCAUUUUGAAGGGGAGAUUGUAGAAUCAAUUGGAAAUCUGGUGUCACUUAGACUUCUCAAUUUAUCUCACAAUCAUCUCAGAGGCCGCAUACCAUUCAUGAUUGGAAAUUUGUCAAUGCUGGAAUCACUAGACCUCUCAUUCAACCAACUUGAAGGAGAAAUUCCGCAACAGCUCACCAGUAUAUAUACACUUGAACGUCUUAAUCUGUCAUGCAACCAACUCAGUGGUCGUAUUCCACAAGGUUCUCAGUUUAAUACAUUUGAUAAUGAUAGCUAUGCUGGUAACUUGGGGCUGUGUGGAAAUCCAUUGUCCAAAAAGUGUGAACCUGAUAUUGUGGAGAAAGAAAGUGACGAAGAUGAGGAUGAUGAUUACUUCUUUAGUGGAUUUACUUGGGAAGCGGUGGUGAUUGGAUAUGGGUGUGGAGUGGUGCCUGCAUUUAUCACUGGCUACCUGAUGUUGUUGGCACGGAAACCAAAAUGGUUUGCUGGAAUCAUUGGCAGGGAAUUGGGCCUGAAGAUCAGGAGGAUGGAGAUUAGAAUGCGAUAACUAAAG
rnacentral:lncRNA from 1 species